CAUUGAUUCUUUGGGUUCUAUGAAUGGAUUUCAGGGAGUCCAUGAGUGGGAAAAAAAUAAAUCUUUAAUUUUCCACUGACCUCUAAUUUAGCAUUUCUUUCCAUUGCUUAAAAUAUUAUUCUGAAAAAGGUUUAAGCAGACUGCCAAAUGAAGUUCAGGACUCAAAAAAAAAAAAGGCUAAGGACCCCUGGAUUUAGGGACAACAUGGAAUGGAAUAGCAGAAAGAACACUGGAUUUGAGCCAGAAGAUUUGAGGAAUGAUGAACAGGAUGAUUUCAGAAAGAACUGGAAAGACCUACAUGAACUGAUGCAGAGUGAAAUAUUCAGAACCAGGAGAACAUUAUACAGAGUAACUGAAAUAUUGUGGAAUGAUCAAAUGUGAUAGACUUUGCUACUAACAACAAUACAAUGACCCAGGACAUUUCUGAGGGACUUAUGAAAAAGAAUGCUAUCUACCUCCAGAGAAAGAACUGUUGGAGUAGAAAUGCAGAUUAAAACAUAUGAUUUAUCACUUGUUUGUUUCAGCAUAUAUUGAGGUGUUUUGAUUUUAUAAGAUUAUUCACUUAUAAAAAUAAAUAUUAUGGAAAUAUGUUUUGCA
rnacentral:lncRNA from 1 species